GAUGAACGCUGGCGGCGUGCCUAAUACAUGCAAGUCGAGCGAACGGACGAUUCUCUUUCUUUUCUUAUUUUUGCGGCUGUCGUGUGUUUCACUCGUUUAUAACCUACCUAUUUUUCUUGUAUAACUUCGUGAAACCGUCUCUAAUACCGGAUAAUAUUUUGAACCUCAUUGUUCAUUAGUUCAUUACGGUCUUUCUGUCACUUCUCGAUGUUUCCGCGCUGCAUUAGCUAGUUGGUAAGGUAACGGCUUACCAAGGCAACGAUGCAUAGCCGACAUGAGAGGGUGAUCGGCCACACUGGAACUGAGACACGGACAAGAGGACUACGGGAGGCAGCAGAAGGGAAUAUGACGCAAGGGGCGAAAGCAUGACGGAGCAAAGCCGCGUGAGAGAAGAAGGACUUGGGAUCGUAAAAAGAUGUUAUUAGGGAAGAAAAUAAGUGUAAGAAAAUGAGAACAGAAUGACGGUAACAAAAAAGAAAGCAACGGCUAACUACGUG
rnacentral:rRNA from 1 species